rnacentral:rRNA from 1 species
GAUGAACGCUGGCGGCGUGCCUAAUACAUGCAAGUCGAGCGAACAGACGAGGAGCUUGCUCCUCUGACGUUAGCGGCGGACGGGUGAGUAACACGUGGAUAACCUACCUAUAAGACUGGGAUAACUUCGUGAAACCGGAGCUAAUACCGGAUAACAUGUUGAACCGCAUGGUUCAACAGUGAAAGACGGUCUUGCUGUCACUUAUAGAUGGAUCCGCGCCGCAUUAGCUAGUUGGUAAGGUAACGGCUUACCAAGGCAACGAUGCGUAGCCGACCUGAGAGGGUGAUCGGCCACACUGGAACUGAGACACGGUCCAGACUCCUACGGGAGGCAGCAGUAGGGAAUCUUCCGUAAUGGGCGAAAGCCUGACGGAGCAACGCCGCGUGAGUGAAGAAGGUCUUCGGAUCGUAAAACUCUGUUAUUAGGGAAGAACAAAUGUGUAAGUAACUAUGCACGUCUUGACGGUACCUACUCAGAAAGCAACGGCUAACUACGUG